AGAUAUGAAUAUAAAAGAGCAAAAACUGAUAACUGUUUCUACGUUAAACACUCUCAAAUAGCCGUUUCUACGGUUUAUUCAUUUUCUGCUUCUCUACAGAAUACACCUAUGAAGGGCUCAUGUAUGAAUUUUAACUAUUCUUCUACCAAGGUGAAGUUACCUUCUCUACCGCAUAUGCUAUCAAAGUAUAUGUGAACCUUGAUAUAGAUUACAUACGAUCUUUGAAGCAAAAAAUUUCUACCAUGUCCUCGGGAGUACAAGUUAUUGAAAGUUCAAAUAUUAAUAGCAUUCCAAUAGACGAAGAGAUGUUUAUGAACCGGAUGAGCAUUAAGAAUUUGUUGGAGUCUGAUUGGAGUGCUGACAUACAGGAAUGCAUUGUUACUAUGAGGAGCAAAAUUACAGACAUAAUAAACUAUUUUAGAUGGUACUACAUUUCAUGCAAUGUAUGCUCGAAGAAGAUUACACCUGCAAAUGGUGUUUAUCCAUGCCUCAACUGCAACAAAGAUUGCAAGUUUCCUUUGGUGAAGUACAAGAUACACAUAGAAGUGAACGACAAUACCCUAAAAACUACUUUUGUCUUAUUCAAUGACGUGGCUGAGAAACUCCUUGAUACAUCAGAUCACAAGUUGUUCAACAAGCUAUCAUAGUUAGAUAAUAACGAUGUUCCUGCCCACGUCCAAAGCCUCUGUGAGAAAGAUUUUAUUUUUAAGCUUAAAUUAAUCAAUUAUAAUUUGAAAGAGGGGCUUGAAAACUUUAUUGUAUCAAAGCUUUGGAUUUCAGAUGAAAAAUUGGAAUUAGAGUACAAGCUAAACAAAGAGAAAAAGAAUUUGAUAGAGGAUGAAAGUGAGCUAAAAGAUGGCGUUUCCAAAGAACUAUCCACACAAAAGAUAUUUGUCAGUCAAGUAAUGGGGCCGUCAUCAAGCAUAAGCGUAGUAUCUACAAGCAAAGGCAAAAUAUGAAUAAAAACUCAGCCCCUGGUAGCGCAACUGAGGUAUCUAAGGGUUGUAAUGAUGCUAUUGUUAAUAAUGUUCCAUCAACUGAGACUCAUGAAGUUGCCUGAUGAUGAAUCAGACAUGGUCAAUAAUGAGAAGGCUGCGGUCAACUCUUCCUCGCAGCCGAGAAUGUAAUAGGACCAACAACAACCACUAGAAGCUUGAUCUUGUCAUGGUCGAGUUAUUAACCACUGGAAACCUCCACUAUGUUAUAGAUGGUCUUCAGGAAACAAACUCUUUAUCACGGUAGGCUAACGUCCACGUACACUCUACACUCAUUUCACGGGGUAUGUUGUUCUUUUUAUUGUCGUUGUUGUUUUUAAUAUUAUCAGUUCCUAUAUUUUUUCAUGUCGUGCUUUGUUUUCGUAUCUACUUUGAUUUAUUGUAUUCAAAUCGAGGAUCAGAACCUACCUACCUAAUGGAGAUAGGGGUAAUGUCUGCGUAUAUUUCAGUUGUGGGAUUUCAUUAUUAUUGUUUUUGUUGUUGUUGUUUGAUUCAUUGAAGAUAAGAGAUCUUCUCUUACGAUAUAGCAUUAUGAUUUUCAUGUUACAUGUUAUUUGGUCAUCAAAUAAUAAGUUGUUCAUGGCAGACAUACCAAAUAUUUUUAUAUUUGGGGAUUCGACCGUAGAUGUUGGAACUAAUAAUUAUUUAAAUGGAAGCAUUCCUACAGCUAACCAAUCUUACUGUGGAAUUGAUUAUCCAAACCACACUACUACUAGAAGAUGGGCAUGUACUUGGUCAAUCAGCUAUUUCCUUUAAUGUUCCAAAUUCAAAUAUGCAAAAUGCUCUUUACCUACUUCGUUUGAGAUCCUGGUCGGUGCAGAUAUGUACUGGUGUGGUAAAUGAAUAUCCGUGAAUUUCCUUGGGUAUCUGUUGUUGAUGCUGAAGUAUAACUGGUUUGUCUUUACCUACUUUACAAAACUUGGUUGGUAGGAAGUUAACGUGAUGUUAAGGUGCUGCUGUAAAGUUUGAUUUUGAUUCACUUCCAAAUGCAUCAAAAUACCACCAAUCAGGUAUAUCGGUGUAUCAGCCAUUAGAGCAAGGUUGCAGACUGGGUUUCAUCAGCUGCAAAAGCAAACUUGUAUGGUGCCUACACGGGUACAUUAGUAAGAACAGAACAACUCUCACCACUUUUUAGUGCACUUCAUAUAUUCAACAUAUCCAACGUCCCUUAAAUCAACCUUAAAAUUAUCAACUACAAGACCAUUGUAUAGGUGUUGUGUCAUUUCCUCUUCCUAAUGUUUAAGGUACGAUUAAGUCUCGAUAUUUUCUUUUUCAAAAUUUUGUUAGGAUGGAUGUAAUGAAUGUUGAAUUCUUGAUGGUUGCCACUUCAUAUUCAUUUAAACUGCUCUACAGUUAGUUCUUCCUUUUCCCUAUAAUGUUGGCGGUGAUGUUGUACUACUAUGCCAGUUACUAUGUUUAUGAUCUUGAAUGUAUUGCUUCAUGAGUCCGGGAAUAAUUCAAUUUACACUAUUGCUUCUGGAGAACAGAGUGCAAACAAUGAUAAUGGUAGUGAAACGGAGGAUGAAAACAUUGAGAUUCCUGGAAAAUACCAGCAAGCUGAAGUGGACGAUGAUGACUCUGACCUUUUAGAAGAAGAUAACCAAACUGAAGUUAACUUUGAUGAGGAAGGGAACAUUGUGAAAAAAAAACUCCACAACUUCAUUUCUCCAACUUUAAUACAGCCAGUUACUUCAGCAAAUGACAUUUCAAACCACCAAAAGAAGGGAAAGGAAGUUAACACUCUUCUCCCGCUGGAUGAACCACUGGAUGCAUCUACUCCGAAUAAAGCACUAGACGACAUUUUAGGUAAAGUCAAACACAUCAAUGCUAUGCCAAGUAAGGGAGUAGAUGAUUUGCAGGGGACAGUUUUCAUUAGCAAACUUCCUUUUGAUGUGGAUUAUGGAGAUGUCAAAUAGCGGUUUUAAGCUUUUGGUAAAGUGGAGUACUUUGCUCCAGUUCUUGAACAAGUUACCAAAUGACCAAGGGGUACAGGAUUUCUCGAAUUUUAAACAGAUGAAUCUGCUAUUUUUGCUGCCAGCGUUGUGGAUGGUUUAGGUGUCUUUCUCAUGAUAAGGAGUUGCAGAAGAUCAAAAAGGAGGCUAAUGAACAGAUUCCUACUGAACAACAAGGAGGCGCUAAUGAACAAUAUGGAAAUGUUCUUACUUCUUUUUUGAGAAAAGCAAAAGAUAAUGAACUUUUACAUGUUUGAGCUCUGCCAGUUCUGUUCUGUAUCCUUUCACAGGGCAAUUCUUCUGGUCUAGAUGGUACAACCAGCGGGCCAGAAUGUAGGUAAGAAAACUCUGGGUGUUUCAUACCUACUGGACCUGCAACUGAGAGUUUUCCCAUAGAGUUGAGGGAAGGGGAUGGAAAACAUAUUUAAAAUAAGCAAGGAAAAGCACAUGGCGUGUGUACCCAACGGGUUUCAACCGAAUUGAAAUAGGAUACUGACAUUACUGCUCCCUUUCAAAUGAGGUUGCUUCAGUUGGGGAUAGCUACUUUAGGAAGUGUUGAUUUCUUCUGAUAUGCUACAAUUGUUCACUUCUUACAUUCAUUCCAUGACUGCAAGUAUGGAUUUGACGAAAAUCAAGUGUACAUAUUUUCUGAUGACACGGUUCCUAGAUGCCUAACUGCAGCACAGUAUGUAUAUAUUCACAGGGUGGCAGUGGCUUUGGUAGUGAAAGUUCUGAUAAUGCUACCCUCUAGGUUGGACGUAAAGAAGUGUUGCAGUGAGAACAAAGAAGAGGAAGUUUGAGGAUAAAACUAACCAACAUAAACUACUCAAACUGACGGUAUCCAGCAGCGCUCUAAGAAGCUUAAGAUGUGGUUCCAAUCCUAUACCAUUCUCAAGUUCUUACGUAGCUUAAUAUUAUGGAGAUAGUAAGAACAACUGCGUUGUCGUUUUUGGUUUGCAUUUUUAUUGUAUUUCCACCCUAAAAUAUCUAUUAACAGUUAUUAAAUUCAAAAAAAUGAAAAAAUAAUUUUAAUCAAA